rnacentral:rRNA from 1 species
UACGUAGGGGGCAAGCGUUAUCCGGAAUUAUUGGGCGUAAAGAGUACGUAGGUGGUUUUCUAAGCACGGGGUUUAAGGCAAUGGCUUAACUAUUGUUCGCCUUGUGAACUGGGAGACUUGAGUACAGGAGAGGAAAGCGGAAUUCCUAGUGUAGCGGUGAAAUGCGUAGAUAUUAGGAGGAACACCAGUGGCGAAGGCGGCUUUCUGGACUGAAACUGACACUGAGGUACGAAAGCGUGGGGAGCAAACAGG